rnacentral:rRNA from 1 species
UACGGAGGGGGCUAGCGUUAUUCGGAAUUAUUGGGCGUAAAGGGCGUGUAGGCGGCUCUGUGUGUCCCAUGUGAAAGCCCUCGGCUCAACCGGGGAGCUGCAUGGGAAACUGCGGAGCUUGAGUCCGGGAGAGGUGAGUGGAAUUCCCAGUGUAGCGGUGAAAUGCGUAGAUAUUGGGAGGAACACCAGUGGCGAAGGCGGCUCACUGGACCGGUACUGACGCUGAGACGCGAAAGCCAGGGGAGCAAACGGG